CUAGUAAUCGCGCAUCAGCCAUGGCGCGGUGAACACGUUCCCGGGCCUUGUACACACCGCCCGUCAAGCCAUGGAAGCCGGGAGUGCCUGAAGUGUGCAACCGCAAGGAGCGCCCUAAGGUAAAACUGGUGACUGGGGCUAAGUCGUAACAAGGUAUC
rnacentral:rRNA from 1 species